CCUACGGGCGGCAGCAGUGAGGAAUAUUGGUCAAUGGUCGGGAGACUGAACCAGCCAUGCCGCGUGAGGGAUGAAGGUACAGAGUAUCGUAAACCUCUUUUGUCAGGGAACAAAGUCGGGGACGCGUCCCCGGUUGAGUGUACCUGAUGAAUAAGCAUCGGCUAACUCCGUGCCAGCAGCCGCGGUAAUACGGAGGAUGCGAGCGUUAUCCGGAUUUAUUGGGUUUAAAGGGUGCGAAGGCGGUGGGUUAAGUCAGCGGGCAAAGCGCGGGGCUCAACCCCGGCCCGCCGUUGAAACUGGCAGUCUCGAGUUGGGGAGAGGUAUGCGGAAUGCGCGGUGUAGCGGUGAAAUGCAUAGAUAUCGCGCAGAACUCCGAUUGCGAAGGCAGCAUGCCGGCUCCAGACUGACGCUGAGGCACGAAAGCGUGGGUAUCGAACAGGAUUAGAUACCCUUGUAGUC
rnacentral:rRNA from 1 species